AAACUUUUUAAAUAUCAUUUUAUACAUUUUAUUAAUAUAAUGAGAUACGAUUUUGAAUUUAACUUGAGAAAAAAAUUUUUUGGACUUGGUGAAUUUUUUAUUGAACUGCAGCCAUAUGAUAUGAGGUUCUACCGAAAUAUGAGUUCAACUUUGACAAAAAAUUUCAACAUAUGAAAAUUGAAGA